rnacentral:rRNA from 1 species
AGAGUUUGAUCAUGGCUCAGGAUGAACGCUAGCUACAGGCUUAACACAUGCAAGUCGAGGGGCAGCGGGAUUGAAGCUUGCUUCAAUUGCCGGCGACCGGCGCACGGGUGAGUAACGCGUAUCCAACCUUCCGUACACUCAGGGAUAGCCUUUCGAAAGAAAGAUUAAUACCUGAUGGUAUGAUGAAAUUGCAUGAUAGCAUCAUUAAAGAUUUAUCGGUGUACGAUGGGGAUGCGUUCCAUUAGGUAGUAGGCGGGGUAACGGCCCACUAGCCUACGAUGGAUAGGGGUUCUGAGAGGAAGGUCCCCCANAUUGGAACUGAGACACGGUCCAAACGUCCGUACGGGAGCA